rnacentral:lncRNA from 1 species
GCUUCAAUGACAACAACAACCUCUGAACUCUCUGAAGGAAAAAGAAUUGUACUUUUCAGGCACUGGUCUAAAGAAAGACUUGUACAUCCCAAAAGCUUGUCUGUUACACCAGCUGGGUUUGUCUGGACAAUGGAAGGCUGAAAUCCCAUGGCAACCUCUGAAUUACAGCUUCAGUUUCUGCCAGAACCCCUGCACCUCUGGCUAAAAUCAGCUCAAGUGAAGACAACCAAUACAAGUCCAGAGACCCUGAGCUGUCAGUUUGACUUAAUGUCAGGAGAUUGCCAAAGUUUCAGCAUCAGCAUCUGUGCUCACCAGCUUCAACAAGAUUCAGAAAAAAAGAAAAGACAGCAAAAAGCAGUUUGUAUUUUGUAAAUUACCUGUGUCGUGUGCAGCUUACAUACAGGGGCGUUGAUGUAUGCAAUAGAGAGUUUUGAGCAGAGCUGCAGCUUGAGGUGUGUUUCCCAACUUGGAGACCUCGUUUUGGGCCCAAAAUUGCUGAAUGCUUCAGUGCUAAUCCUUUGUGUCUCGUGCAGCACCAAACCCCUCAUUAAUGUGGUAUCAAAAAAAUAAAAGUGUGUUCUCCCCCCUAGCUUUUUACUAU